ACUAAACCCACGACCUCCCUUAGUCUCCACUUUAGAAAAUAAAUAAAAAAUACAAUCCAAACAAAGAACCUCUGGCGCUCAAUCUCCAUUACUCUCCGCUCUCCGGUCUCCGCUGCGUACUACUCCGGUUAAGGGGGAAUGUUAACUUGAUCAGAAAAAUAAAUCAGAAAAAAUAACCAAAAUAUACUACCCACCAUAGUUGCCGCCCAUCAAGCUGUUGCUUUCACAUCGAUCGGUUCUUCACUCGAAAAUUCACCAGAAUUGAAAGAUUCACUCAAACUUUAAUCCGAAUUGAAAGAUUAAAACUUUUGGGCAGAAAUCUCUGUGCCUCAUAUAGCUGAAGCAUUGGUGUCGGAUCUUGUGCGACCUCAAACUGUACCAUAGCUUGUAUACUCAAAGUUUUGGAGGGCACUUGCAUUUUCCUACAGCAAUGGAAUUAACUCCUUAUACCAUGCAAAUUGAGGAUGUUUAUAAUGUUGCGCGGUUCAUCUGGUUUCUACACCUAUGCAAUAUGUGAGCACUUGAAUGAUUAGCUUGGAUUUAGCAUGGGUGAAACUAGGAUCACAUUUAAGCUCAACAAACAAUAGUAUGAUUCAGGAAACUGAUUUUGUAUGGCAAACCAAUCAAAUAGACGGGUUUUAACUUUUUAAUUAACAUAUAAAUCAGUGAUUAUAAAUUAUAAAUAGGUGUUUAGAGCUAAAAUGACAUUUCCGCUCCCAACUUUGAACUAAAGAACCUAAGGACUCAUUUGAUUCUUAUUACA